AACAAGCACUUAUCUUCUAUUUCUUCUUUUUCUUCCUUAUGUUUCUAAUCUUUUCCUUUGUCGCUUCACUUUCUUCUUCAACCUGAAUCUCUCUCUCUCUCUCUCUAUCUCUCUCUCUCUCUCUCACACACACACACACACACACACACACACACACACACACAUAUCAAACUCCCCCUCUUUAUUCUUUCUCUUUGUCAUCACCACUUCUUCUCUUUUACCCGUCAAUGUUUUCUUCUUUUUUCUGCUCUCUCUUUCGCAUCUUCAAUUUUUUUUCCUGAUUUGUUAUACUGUGUUUUGUGUUUUGCAGAUCCAUUCAAAGUUGUUCAUCUUCAUCAAUAAAAUAAUAAAGAACAAGAAUAGAUCUAUUAAAAGUUGUUCAUCUUCAUCAAGAAAAAAAAUAAAGGACAAGAGUAGGUAAAAUUAUAUAACUCCAAUAGUUAUCCUUAUUUGUAUAGAUUUGUCUUCACCAUUUUAUUUUUUGAUGUUUCCUUUUUCCUUGCUUUGAUUUCAACUAUAACAAAAUUUUCCUCUAAAAAAAUAUGUUGAGAUAAAGGGAAAGAGAAGAAGGAUAUGGGUGGUGGUGAAGUUAGGACUUGAAGUUGAAGAUAUCCUUCAUUUAAAAAUAUAUUACAUUCAAUUUUUAAUUUUAUCCAACUAUUUGUUUUGAUUUUUCAUGAUUUUAUUGUAGUUGAGUAUGAAUAUAUAAUGAGACAAGGGAAAAUCGGUGACGGUGAAUAAGAAAGAGCCACGUAAUGAUUUGGUGGCAGAUUAUAGAAUUCUUGAUUUUGCAAA